AUUGAACGCUGGCGGCAUGCUUUACACAUGCAAGUCGAACGGUAACAGGGUGCUUGCACCGCUGACGAGUGGCGAACGGGUGAGUAAUGCGUCGGAACGUGCCGAGUAGUGGGGGAUAACGCAGCGAAAGUUGUGCUAAUACAGCAUACGUACUGAGGUAGAAAGUGGGGGACCUUCGGGCCUCACGCUAUUCGAGCGGCCGACGUCUGAUUAACUAGUAGGUGGGGGAAAGGCUCACCUAGGCGACGAUCAGUAGCGGGUCUGAGAGGAUGAUCCGCCACACUGGGACUGAGACACGGCCCAGACUCCUACGGGAGGCAGCAGUGGGGAAUUUUGGACAAUGGGCGAAAGCCUGAUCCAGCCAUGCCGCGUGUCUGAAGAGGCCUUCGGGUUGUAAAGGACUUUUGUCAGGGAGGAAAUCCCUAGUGCUAAUAACACUGGGGGAUGACAGUACCUGAAGAAUAAGCACCGGCUAACUACGUGCCAGCAGCCGCAGUAA
rnacentral:rRNA from 1 species